rnacentral:sRNA from 1 species
UGACAUCUGCUGGGGACCACGGGCUGGCGGGCUUGGGAGGCAGGCCCGCAGCCGGCUGCCACUCGGCGCCCUGGGGCUCCUCAGAGCCACCCGCGAGCCUGCGCGCUGAACUCGCUGGGUCCGGAUCCGAGUUCAGCAACCUCCCGGGAACCCCACUUUCUCCCGCUCUUCUAUCAGCUGAGAUAAGGCCCAGAAUGACACUGUCUUGGCACAGGAGCUCCAGUCCUGUAAGGGAGAUCCCAGUUCUACUCUCUUCGUAUUUGACAACCAGGAGCCAAGCUACCUUUGCAGAAUGAGUAAAGCACCUACAUAUUUGCACUGACAGCUACAUCCUUUCUCUCAAGUCUUGGCUUACACACAUAAAGUGGUUCACUCCCAUAGUGUGCAGCCAUCACAUGAGAAGCUGGAGAACUGCGUUUGAGCAUCUUCAAGCUUUUUGUACACCAGUGCAGAAGCAAGGUAGAGAAAAAAAACCCAAAUCAAAAACCCUCCAUACAGCUAUUUAAACCUGACCUGAGAGCACACGACACGGACAGCUCUAAUCAGCGAACAACGUAGGUCCUAACAGUCUAACGGAGUGCAGAUUAAAGAAAGCUAUUGUCUGCCGUUCGCAUCCUCAGUAUGUUUUCUUAAGCCCCACCUGCAGUUGCUACCACUCUCUAUGCUCUCAGAACCACAUUGUGUAAGAAGAAAAUCAUUUCCUGCAAGCUGUCUUCUGACCCGCAAACAUACUGCCUGUUCCACAGAUCACAAAUAAGUAGGUAAGUAAAUAUAGAUAUACAUGUUUUUGUUUUUAAUAUGAGAAAAUCCCAUAAUCUAUUUUUCCUCCUAGACAGGGUUUCUCUGUAUAGCCUUGGCUGUCCUGGAACUCACUCUGCAGACCAGGCUGGCCUUGAACUUACAGAGAUUCACCUGCCUCCGGAGUGCUGAGAUUAAAGGUGUGGCCAUCACUGCCUGGCUAAAAUUCCAUACUUUAUUUACCCAUUUUACUACUGAUGGGUACACAUGCUUUUUUCAGUCUGAAGAUACUACAUUGAGUUGUUGUUUACGGUCUUGGAUAAUAAAAACUUCCGUUUUGUUUAAGUAAUACUGAAAGUGCCAAGCUGGAAUUACUGGCUCACAGUGUAGGCCUAUGCUUAACCUGAAAGGAACUGCACACUUUCUAAGGUGCCUGUGCUCUUAUUUAUUCCCAACAAUUCAUGACUCUUCUCACUGCCCACACAGCCAAAUGGAACAAAUGCCAUGAAGUUUGAGUUUGAUUUACUUGAGAAAGAGACAAGUACCAGGAUGCGCCUUCGCCCACUAUGGAAGAGUCACAUGAAAAGGCUGAACCACGAGUGCUUUGCACACUAGCACUAAUACAAAUACAGUGAUGUGAUGACACUGACUAGAAAGAGAAGAACUAUAGCUUCUUAUCUUUGUAAUUUAAUAUAAACAUUCUAUUACUAAUUGCUAUACUGUUCAGAGAAUAAUGAUUGGGGAAUAGGUUUACUAGAGAUGCAAUUUAAAAAUUAGAUUUGUGGCUUUGCUUUGUUGGGCCAAACUUGCCAGAUUUUUUUGUUUUGUUUUGUUUUGUUUUGCUUUGUUUUUCCAGUUUGCUCUCUUGCUCACUUCCCUUUCUAUCCGUGUAGGGCUCCAGACUACCUUGGGGGAAUCAGAGAGGAGGUCAGAGCCAAAGUCUUUUCGAUAAAGCACUGGGACGACACAGCAGCCUAUUUGGACAGACUGACUGCCGUCCUUCCCAAGCAGAGGAUCCUCCCGCACGGGAAGAUGGCCCUUCUUCCUUCCUCCCUCCCUUCCCUCUCUCCCUCUUGACCAUUUUCCCUCUUCCACUGUACACUCAAUAAAAUAAAGUAAAUAAAUGAAAUCUCAAGUUAUUUAUUUGUUUGAGCUACCUAAAUUCUCUCUUAACAUCUGCACCUCCCCUCCAAAAACUUUUUUUGUUUUGUUUUGUUUUUGCUUCUCUUGGCUACUCUAGAGCGAGCUCUGUAGAUCACUCCAGCCUGCAGCUCACAGAGACACACCGACCUGCUCUGCCUUCCUCCUGAUGCUGGGACUAAUGCACUACCACUGCCUAGCUUGAAAAAUAGAUUUUUAAAAAUCGAUUUUAUCGGGGUUGGGGAUUUAGCUCAGUGGUAGAG